rnacentral:rRNA from 1 species
AUACGCGCUGAACUUAAGCAUAUCAAUAAGCGCAGGAAAAGAAACCAACAGGGAUUACCUCAGUAACGGCGAGUGAAGCGGUAAUAGCUCAAAUUUGAAAUCUGGCCUCUCGGGGUCCGAGUUGUAAUUUGUAGAGGAUGUUUUGGGUACCGCCCCGGUCUAAAUUUCUUGGAACAGGAUGUCAAAGAGGGUGAGAAUCCCGUCUUGGACCGGCGGUAGGGCCUGUGUAAAACUCCUUCGACGAGUCGAGUUGUUUGGGAAUGCAGCUCAAAAUGGGUGGUAAAUUUCAUCUAAAGCUAAAUAUUGGCCAGAGACCGAUAGCGCACAAGUAGAGUGAUCGAAAGAUGAAAAGCACUUUGAAAAGAGAGUUAAACAGUAUGUGAAAUUGUUGAAAGGGAAGCGCUUGCAACCAGACUUGAGCGCGGCGGUUCCCCCGGUCUUUUGGCCGGGCUACUCCGUCGUGUCCAGGCCAACAUCGGUUCUGAGGGUCGGUCAAAGGCUCUGGGAAUGUAUCUACCCACGGGUAGACUUAUAGACCAGGGUGUCAUGCGGCCUCUCGGGACCGAGGAACGCGCUUCGGCUCGGAUG